AAGGUUUUAAGUUAAAAAAACUAUUAAUCUUCAAAAUUAAAAAUAUAAAAUUCAUUUUAAACCUUA
rnacentral:tRNA from 1 species